UACAGAGGGUGUGAACGUUGCUCGGAAUUACUGGGCGUAAAGCGCGUGUAGGCGGGGUCGCAAGUCAGAUGUGAAAUCCCCGGGCUCAACCCGGGAACUGCACCUGAAACUGCGAUCCUUGAGUACUGGAGAGGGUGGCGGAAUUCCUGGUGUAGAGGUGAAAUUCGUAGAUAUCAGGAGGAACACCGGUGGCGAAGGCGGCCACCUGGACAGUUACUGACGCUGAGACGCGAAAGCGUGGGGAGCGAACAGG
rnacentral:rRNA from 1 species